ACAAGUCAACUAAAUUACAUUGCGUUUUUGAAAAAUCUUAUUCUAAUCUAAACGAUUUUAACGUUUUAUUUGUAAUUUUGAAAAAUUAUAAGGAUACCAUCAAAUCUAGAAAGUUACAAAAUAGUGAAACAAAAACCAAUGACCUAUAAAAUUACAAUGUACUUAAUAAGAAAGUGGUACCUUGACAUGUGUCGUCACAGGAACAGGAAUACCAGCACCGGGAGACACCUCCUUCUGGGAUGAAUGUGGGAUGGCAUCCAAGUCCACCAUGGUAGAAACACGGUUGAUGGAGCCAUCCGGUCCGAUCACAAGAAUAGCCCCAUCUCGGGUCCAACAUUUCGUCAUACCAUGUUGCUGACAAGCUGCCAUAAAGAUGCUCUGUCUUCUCCUUGUCAGGAACUCCGAUAAAGUGACACCAGAGUCCUUGAGAUUACGUUUAGCCCCCCAUACCUUAUUGCGUGUUGUAAUGUUUUGGAACUUAAUAAGUAUGGGUCUAGGCCUUGCAGCUUGAAGACGACCCAAUCUGUGGCAAUAUUUGACUGCAUCCAUGCCUAUAUCCGCCAGUUUCAGCUGCGACUUGAACAACUUUGUCAGAAUCUGAGGGACAUCCUUUUGAUCUUCAGAGACGCCAUGAACAAGCAAAAUCUUCUUAGCUUUCGUUUCACUUUGGUCGUGAAGGUCUGACAGAACUUCAAUCUGCUUCUGAAGUGAGCUCAAAGCACUGACCACAAAAGAUUUGAAUGUGUUGAACUCUGCGGUCAGCUUUGAAGUUGGACUAGAAGACUGCUGCGACGCUGCCUGAAGCUCCUGCUGGAAUGCUGCCAUUCUUGCGUUGAAUAGAUCAGACAUCUCAGUAAUAGUCUGUUUUACUGACUCCAUUGUGCUUGUAUUAGAGGUGUAGGUACUUGUAGAAUUGUGAAUAAAAUUAUGGAUUUG